rnacentral:tRNA from 1 species
GGUGGCUCAGUGGUAGAGCGCUUGCCUUGCACGCAGGAAGCCCUGGGUUCGAUUCCUCAGCACCA